ensembl:lncRNA
CUCUGGCCUAUCUUUAAAAUACAAACUGCAGACUGAUGCAUCCUAGUAUGUACAGUUUAUCAAAUAUUUCUUUGCAAAACAAGACGAGUUAUUUUGAAGGAAGCAGUGCUUGCAAUAGCUAUCCAAAGGUCUCAUUCACUAGUCAUUCAAAGUGAGCAUAGUUGUCUACCUCAGCUCUGAAACUGUUCCAGAGAGUAUGCAAAUCUUUGUGGCUGUGUGAGGAAGCCUCAGAACUCCCCUUUUGCCCUAGGUAUAUACUGUUACUAGGAGAAACUUUUAGAGUCAGGUCAUAUGAGUGCAUUGUGUUACAACUGUCAUUACCACUGGUCUGUUUUUAGCUACGGGUUCCCCAAAAUAAAGAUUCUAUAGCUUAUGUGCCCUUACUUCUAAUCCCAGCUAGAAGACACAGAAACAACACAGCUUUAACUUUUUCAUAACCAGGAAUAUCUGUUGAAUAGUUUCUCUUCUUUUUAGCAAGAAACAGGAGAAAUAGGUAAUGAAACAGCAGAAAGCAGUUCUACAUUACAUAAACAUGAUCCAAGAUGUUAUCAGAGCUCCCAGGGUUCAUCAGAUGAAGCAUCCUUUUACCAGAUGUAUGGAUGGAGCAUACUUAAAUGCUGCUUUGCUCUCAUUAGGCACCCUCACCUGAAGACAGAAAUACUUCUACUAUUGCACAAGUUGCACAGUGAACUUAACCCAGAUAAUUUUGGACUGCAGAGUGAGAAACAGAAAAGAUACCAGGUCAAGAGUCUCAGGGAAUGGCACAAAAAGGGUCUGUGCAGAAUUCCUUUCUGUGUCCUUUUUGUGUAUCCUUUUGGGUGAGUCAGCUUUGUUUUCCCACCACACUCUGUGGGGUUGGCAGUUCACUGCCUGCUUACUUUUUAUUUUAGAGCAGACACAUGAUGAGCCGUGUGAUUCAGAUUUUUAAGUUCUUGUAUUUACUCUUGCUUUUACUUAGUAGUUGCUAAAACAUUUAGUAUCACAACUGUGUUUUAAACACUGGAUUCCUCCCUGUUCCUACAACACUCAGACACCAGAGAAGAGAUUGAUACCUGUCCUUAAAUUCAGGGCUUUCAGCAAUUAGUUCAAAUGCCUCAGCAGAACAGUUCCCUUGGGAAAGGUGUUUCUUUAUUUGUUUGUUUUGUUUUGUUUUUUUUUUUUUUCCCUAGAGAAACCUGUUAUCUGGAGCCUAAAAAGCAGAUACUCAACAUUCUCAGUUCAGAGUAGGAGGUAAACUGUACCCUGCUUGGGCUGACGAUAUGAGCCAUAAAAGGGUAGAAGUGCCAAUUAAAAACUUAGUCAACAGCCCUAUUUUUCAUAAGUAAGUUUCUAAUUCUGUGUGGGACCUGGUUUAUGUAACAUGCAACCUUUUGCCUGGAUAUGACCACUAAAGUCUCCCUAACCAGAACCCCAAGAUCAGAGCCCAGAUUUUGUACCCCUAUUAAGAAGCCUUCAGUUGUAGGAUUGAACUCACACAAGCUCUCACUAGCGAUUUCACUGACAUUUGCAAACUGCAAUUUGAUACUUCCAGUUUCAAGAGUGCUCAAAUACCCCCACCAAGGUACUGAGAAUAAUUAUGUGCCUUAUCAUACAGGUGAAUGCCACAUAGUAAUGAAUCCAGUGAUAAGCAUUUCAGAUGCUAUUAUCACACUGAUAGGUUUGAAUGGUGAGUAUAAUAGUUCCUAACAUGAGAAAAAAGUCUGUCAACCCAAUCAGUAUUCUUAAAUAUUUGGAUGACACUCUUAAUUGUAAGUAAUAGGAAUCGUGUGGACUUAAACAAAUACACGUCACUCAUUAACUCUUGGCAAAGACCAGACUCGUUUCUCUUCUGAAACUUCUAUUUCUUCAGAUACAGAAUGGUGGCUUUAGGGGAAAUAUUGUUGGUUCAGCUGUGUGACAUGAUGGGGAACCUGGAGCUUUCCUUAUCCUGGCAGGUAACUGUUUGGAAAAUGUUGAAAGUACUUGCAUAUUUUAUUCCAACUAAUGUAACUUAACUCCUGCCACAGUCAAGACCUAAGAAAGUUCAUUUAGUAAAUGUACAAAGUUUUCUUGCAUCACACACAAUCAUAAGUUUUUUAGCUCUUACAUGAGUGUCUCCCAAACUUAUUUUAUUAAUACAUUUUUCUUUGACUUGACUCUUAUUCAGAUGGAAUUUUCUUCCGUUAUGGAGUUUAAUAAACCUUGAAGUUGUG